GGUUGGGCGUAAGCUUUCAAGGUGUGUUUUUCUAGGGCGAGAAAAA
rnacentral:ncRNA from 2 species